AUUUCUUUGUACUGCACAUUGCUGCAGCUCGUCUUUUUGUGUGUUGAGCUCUGUUUUAGCUCCAGAGUGAGGCAUCUCACUUCUGUUCCAUCUUUGUUGGGACUCGCACAUGCGCUGUAGCUAGGUAAGGACUACUAGCCAGUCAGGAGCAGAGUAUGAGGGCGUGCCCUGACAGUACCUAGGUAAUGACUACUAGCCAGUCAGAAGCAGAGAAUGAGGACGUGCCCUGACAGCAGCAAGGACUACUAGCCAGUCAGAAGCAGAGUAUGAGGACGUGCCAUA